GACGAACGCUGGCGGCGUGCUUAACACAUGCAAGUCGAACGGAAAGGCCCUGCUUGCAGGGUACUCGAGUGGCGAACGGGCGAGUAACACGUGGGUGAUCUGCCCUGCACUUCGGGAUAAGCCUGGGAAACUGGGUCUAAUACCGGAUAGGAGCCAUUUUUAGUGUGAUGGUUGGAAAGUUUUUUCGGUGUAGGAUGAGCUCGCGGCCUAUCAGCUUGUUGGUGGGGUAAUGGCCUACCAAGGCGGCGACGGGUAGCCGGCCUGGGGGGGUGGACGGCCACAUUGGGACUGAGAGAAGGCCCAGACUCCUACGGGGGGCAGCAGUGGGGAAUAUUGCACGAUGGGCGCAAGGCUGAUGCAGCGACGCCGCGUGGGGGAUGACGGCCUUCGGGUUGUAAACUCCUUUCGCUAGGGACGAAGCUUUUUGUGACGGUACCUAGAUAAGAAGCACCGGCUAACUACGUG
rnacentral:rRNA from 1 species